CCCCGGCGGAGUGCUUAAUGCGUUAGCUGCGGCACUUAAGGGCGGAAACCCUCAAACACCUAGCACUCAUCGUUUACGGUGUGGACUACCAGGGUAUCUAAUCCUGUUUGCUACCCACACUUUCGAGCCUCAACGUCAGUUACAGUCCAGAAAGCCGCCUUCGCCACUGGUGUUCUUCCAUAUAUCUACGCAUUUCACCGCUACACAUGGAGUUCCACUUUCCUCUACUGCACUCAAGUCAUCCAGUUUCCAAAGCAAUUCCUCAGUUGAGCUGAGGGCUUUCACUUCAGACUUAAAUAACCGUCUGCGCUCGCUUUACGCCCAAUAAAUCCGGAUAACGCUUGGAACAUACGUAUUACCGCGGCUGCUGGCACGUAUUUAGCCGUUCCUUUCUGGUAAGAUACCGUCACACAUUGAACAGUUACUCUCAAUGUCAUUCUUCUCUUACAACAGUGUUUUACGAGCCGAAACCCUUCAUCACACACGCGGCGUUGCUCCAUCAGGCUUUCGCCCAUUGUGGAAGAUUCCCUACUGCUGCCUCCCGUAGGAGUAUGGGCCGUGUCUCAGUCCCAUUGUGGCCGAUCAGUCUCUCAACUCGGCUAUGCAUCAUCGUCUUGGUGAGCCAUUACCUCACCAACUAACUAAUGCACCGCGGGACCAUCUCUUAGUGAUAGCAGAACCAUCUUUUAAGUAGCAACCAUGCGGUUGCUAUUGUUAUACGGUAUUAGCAUCUGUUUCCAAAUGUUAUCCCCUGCUAAGAGGUAGGUUUCCCACGUGUUACUCACCCGUUCGCCACUCUUUGCAAUGUCCAUCGUCAUAUCUGAGCAAGCUCUUCAAAUCAGUUGAACCACAAAGCGUUCGACUUGCAUGUAUUAGCACGCCGCCAGCGUUCAUCCUGAGAGAGAAAAAAAAAUCACU
rnacentral:rRNA from 1 species